GAUGAAAUGGCCGAAAUGGUGUUAGAUUGUAAAUCUACUUAUGGGUUCGCCCUUUCAUCA
rnacentral:tRNA from 1 species